ACGGGUGCGUAACGCGUAGGAAUCUGCCUUGAAGCGGGGGACAACCCGAGGAAACUCGGGCUAAUACCGCAUAAUCUCGAGAGAGAAAAGUUGGGUGGCAACACCAGACACUUCAAGAGGAGCCUGCGUCCGAUUAGCUAGUUGGUGGGGUAAAAGCCUACCAAGGCGAUGAUCGGUAGCUGGUCUGAGAGGAUGACCAGCCACACUGGGACUGAGACACGGCCCAGACUCCUACGGGAGGCAGCAGUGGGGAAUAUUGGACAAUGGGGGCAACCCUGAUCCAGCAAUGCCGCGUGUGUGAAGAAGGCCUUAGGGUUGUAAAGCACUUUAGUUGGGGAGGAAGGUUAGUAGUUUAAGAGAUAACUAAUUUGACUGUACCCAAAGAAUAAGCACCGGCUAACUCUGUGCCAGCAGCCGCGGUAAUACAGAGGGUGCGAGCGUUAAUCGGAAUUACUGGGCGUAAAGGGCGCGUAGGCGGUGUAUUAAGUUAGACGUGAAAUCCCUGGGCUUAACCUAGGAACUGCAUCUAAUACUGGUACGCUAGAGUGCAGUAGAGGGUAGUGGAAUUUCCGGUGUA
rnacentral:rRNA from 1 species